rnacentral:rRNA from 1 species
CCGAGUAGNUAGCGCGGUGGUCCCACCUGACCCCAUGCCGAACUCAGAAGUGAAACGCCGUAGCGCCGAUGGUAGUGUGGGGUCUCCCCAUGCGAGAGUAGGGAACUGCCAGGC